AUUGAACGCUGGCGGCAGGCUUAACACAUGCAAGUCGAGCGGAGCGAGGGUGCUUGCACCUUAGCUUAGCGGCGGACGGGUGAGUAAUGCUUAGGAAUCUGCCUAUUAGUGGGGGACAACAUUCCGAAAGGAAUGCUAAUACCGCAUACGCCCUACGGGGGAAAGCAGGGGAUCUUCGGACCUUGCGCUAAUAGAUGAGCCUAAGUCGGAUUAGCUAGUUGGUGGGGUAAAGGCCUACCAAGGCGACGAUCUGUAGCGGGUCUGAGAGGAUGAUCCGCCACACUGGGACUGAGACACGGCCCAGACUCCUACGGGAGGCAGCAGUGGGGAAUAUUGGACAAUGGGCGGAAGCCUGAUCCAGCCAUGCCGCGUGUGUGAAGAAGGCCUUUUGGUUGUAAAGCACUUUAAGCGAGGAGGAGGCUCUUAAGGUUAAUACCCUUGAUGAGUGGACGUUACUCGCAGAAUAAGCACCGGCUAACUCUGUGCCAGCCGCCGCAGUAA
rnacentral:rRNA from 1 species